CAACGAAUAUUCCGCAAUGGACGCAAGCCUGACGGAGCGACACCGCGUGCAGGAUGAAGGCCUUCGGGUUGUAAACUGCUGUCACGUUUUCGGAAUGGCGCAGCGUUAAUAGCGCUGCGCUUGACCAUGGCGAAAGGAAGCACCGGCUAACUCUGUGCCAGCAGCCGCGGUAAGACAGAGGGUGCAAACGUUGUUCGGAAUUACUGGGCAUAAAGAGCACGUAGGUGGUCUGCUAAGUCAUGUGUGAAAUCCCCCGGNUCAACCGGGGAAUUGCGCCUGAUACUGGCAGGCUUGAGGUCGGUAGGGGUGAGUGGAACUCCAGGUGGAGCGGUGAAAUGCGUAGAUAUCUGGAGGAACACCGGUGGCGAAGGCGG
rnacentral:rRNA from 1 species